rnacentral:rRNA from 1 species
AGUGGCGGACGGGUGAGUAAUGCAUAGGAAUUUGCCUAUUAGUGGGGGACAACACGGGGAAACUCGUGCUAAUACCGCAUACGCUCUUAGGAGGAAAGCAGGGGAUCUUCGGACCUUGUGCUAAUAGAUAAGCCUAUGUCGGAUUAGCUUGUUGGUGGGGUAAUGGCCUACCAAGGCGACGAUCCGUAGCUGGUUUGAGAGGAUGAUCAGCCACAUCGGGACUGAGACACGGCCCGAACUCCUACGGGAGGCAGCAGUGGGGAAUAUUGGACAAUGGGGGCAACCCUGAUCCAGCAAUGCCGCGUGUGUGAAGAAGGCCUUAGGGUUGUAAAGCACUUUUGUCAGUGAGGAAACGGUGGUGGUUAAUACCCGCCGCACUUGACGUUAACUGAAGAAUAAGCACCGGCUAACUCCGUGCCAGCAGCCGCGGUAAUACGGAGGGUGCGAGCGUUAAUCGGAAUUACUGGGCGUAAAGCGCGCGUAGGCGGAUAAUUAAGUCAGAUGUGAAAGCCCUGGGCUUAACCUGGGAACUGCAUUUGAUACUGGUUAUCUUGAGUAUGGUAGAGGUAAGCGGAAUCUCCAGUGUAGCAGUGAAACGCGUAGAGAUUGGAAGGAAUAUCGAUGGCGAAGGCAGCUUACUGGGCCAAUACUGACGCUGAGGUGCGAAAGCGUGGGUAGCGAACGGGAUUAGAUACCCCGGUAGUCCACGCCGUAAACGAUGCCAACUAGGUGUAGGGGUCUUGAACUUCUGUGCCGCAGCUAACGCAUUAAGUUGGCCGCCUGGGGAGUACGCACGCAAGUGUAAAACUCAAAGGAAUUGACGGGGACCCGCACAAGCGGUGGAGCAUGUGGUUUAAUUCGAUGCAACGCGAAGAACCUUACCAGGCCUUGACAUCUAGCGAAGUUUCCAGAGAUGGAUUCGUGCCUUCGGGAACGCUCAGACAGGUGUUGCAUGGCUGUCGUCAGCUCGUGUCGUGAGAUGUUGGGUUAAGUCCCGCAACGAGCGCAACCCUUAUCCUUAUUUGCCAGCACGUUAUGGUGGGAACUCUAGGGAGACUGCCGGUGACAAACCGGAGGAAGGUGGGGACGACGUCAAGUCAUCAUGGCCCUUACGGCCUGGGCUACACACGUGCUACAAUGGACGUUACAGACGGUUGCCAAAUCGUGAGAUGGAGCUAAUCUGAGAAAGGCGUUCGUAGUCCGGAUUGCAGUCUGCAACUCGACUGCAUGAAGUCGGAAUCGCUUGUAAUCGCGAAUCAGCAUGUCGCGGUGAAUACGUUCCCGGGUCUUGUACACACUGCCCGUCACACCAUGGGAGUUGGUUGCAAAAGAAGUAGGUAGUCUAACUUUUAGAGGACGCUUACCACUUUGUGGUCAAUGACUGGGGUGAAGUCGUAACAAGGUAACC